rnacentral:tRNA from 1 species
AAUUUUUAACAAUAAAAGACGAAGGGGUUAUUGCAAAUAACUUAUUGGUGUCUU